rnacentral:misc_RNA from 1 species
ACGCGAUUUUCCCGCGUUUCUCGCUUUUGUUUGGCUUCAGCCAUAUUUGCGGCAUUUGUUGGUUGCGGGUUUUGUGGAUAUUGCUGCAGGGGAAUGACGUGGAUCUUUAUAAUGUAACGGAGCUUACGACUGCUGGAAUAUUGUGCAGUGAUCUAUAGCUCAGUUUUGUGAAACAUAAGCUUGUCUUUUCUUGAAAUCUCGCCGAGCCGCCGCGCCGCGCGAUGACGGGCGGCCAGAAGUUCUGUCUGCGCUGGGACGGCUUCAAGUCGCGGCUGUCCUCGGUGUUUGACGAACUGCGCCGGGAGGAAGAGCUGCUGGAUGUGACACUCUGCUGUGAUGGCGGACACGCCGUCAAGGCCCACCAGAUCCUGCUGUCGGCCAGCAGUCCCAGCCUCCGCCAGCUGCUCAAGUCGAACCCAUGUCAGCACCCGGUGUUCUUCCUGAAGGAGACCUCGGCGGAGGAUCUGCAUGCCAUCAUCCAGUUCAUCUACUGCGGAGAGGUGAACGUGGUCCAGAGCCAGCUAGCCAGCUUCAUCAAGACGGCAGAGAUGCUGCAGAUCCGGGGGCUCAGCGGCGACAGCGACGGAGAUGAAGAUCAGACACCGACUGCUACGGCUCCGCGGCAGAGCUCGGCGCCGCCACCACGUGAGGAUGACCAGCCCGCACCUGCCGAGCCUCGACCGAGCAAACGACGCCGCCGCCGCUCCAGUGGAACGUCCGACCUGUCCGCGACCUAUGACGCAUCCUCGAGCGCGUCCGCCCCCGCAUCCGUGACCGCAUCCUCCAAGACCGCCGCCGGCGUCCCUGCUGCCGCCUCCGCCGCUGCCACCGCCUCCAAGUCUGCUAUUCCGUCAACUAGCGUCAGCACAGAUAACAGAGCGGUCGCAAAUGUCCCGAAAGCCGCAUCCGCCUCGGUGAUCGCUGCUGAUGUGAACGUUGUCAGCCUGGAUGAUAUAAAGACUGAGCAGGUGGAUCUCUCAGAUGACGAAGGGCGCUCUAUGGAUGACCCGCUGGGCUUCUUCUCGAGCUUUGAGGGACACGUCGAUGCCAGCAGUGCCGCCGGCCCGUCGUCUCGCGACUCGCAUGGAGGACCGUCCACAGCUGCAGGACCGUCAGGACAGGCUGGAGCGACGGCAGCGGGUGAACCAACUGCGCAAGAAUACCAUAAACUGGAGGAGAUACUGGCCAUGAUUUUGGCCAAGCUGGAUUUCAUAGAGAGGAUUCAGCAAGAUAUCUGGGAGCAGCUGGCUCAACAGGGAGACUCUCGUUCUGGAUCGUCGGCACAGCCGGGCUUCCGGCGUCUGAAAACGACAGAAGACUUCCAGAAGCUGGAUGAACUCCUCGCUCGUAGCACUAAGGCCAAAGAUGCCAUGAAGGAGGAGCUCACACGCUGGUGUUCUGUGAACUUCAGACACAGUGUGCUUCAGAUAAUGCCCAUCGUUUUCGGCCCAGAGCUGGCAAGACACCUAUCCCUGACAGGAAAAAAUCAAAAGAUGGGUGUGGGCGAUACACACAUUUUCGAUGUCAUUUCAGACGUCCUCCACACUGCCUGGGGUGCCUCAAGGGCGGAUGUUAGCCGCAGGAUGUCCUCGUGGCUCUCUGGGUCCCGGGAUCGCACCAGUGGAGUACUGCCGUCCCGCAAGAAGAAGACGGUACCGACGGAACAGGCCGCUGAUACUGGUGAAGACGACGCGGGAGCGACGGCAGAUUGAACGAAGAGAAAGCUGGCGGAGGGAAAGCUACCGUUUUGAGAUUUUGAGACAUGUUUACACGUUUCAUUGGGGCGUGCUGAGACUUUUUGAAAAUGGGCGUGGUUUAGGGACACGGUGUUUGUGGUAGUGGUAGAAGGGACAGGGUGCGCUUUUGAUCUUGUAUCUUCUCGUGACGCGGUCUUUUGGAUUUUAAUCUCUUGAUUGUCUUUUUGAUACGCCCGAAAUACACUUUUCUAAGCUUA